AAUUCACUUAUUUACAACUGGCCCUUGUCGUUUCACUGCAAGGCUUCUCAUUCAAGAGCUGAUCCUCUCCAUGUCGCUCCUCCUUCCCGAAGCUGGCCUCCUGUUUCAGAAGUCUACAUGUUCUCAUAUUCAGCUGCGUCAGGCAUUUCUGUAAACUCUUUCACCGAGCUAUGGCCAAAAGGGAUUAAAUAGUUGCUAAUCUUCAAUCAUCCGGCGUUUCCCUGGGAUCAGUGCUGGAGGAUGGCCCUGCCGUGCCGUUUCAGCCUCCGGUUCCUUAAUGACAGUAAACCCAGGGGAAUCACAGGCUGGUUAGAGGUGUCCAGAAACUUCUUGGUUAAGUGAUAAGGAACAGCACAACUUCAAACAGAACAAACUGAUCACCUGCUGCCUCCUCAAGCCUUCCAACCGGUAUCACUCCCUCGGUACUACCUGCUUCCUAUGGAAGCACCUACAUGUUGUUCCCCUGUGGAGGGGCAAACAGCUACCAGACAUUUCCCUUUGAAGAAGAAAAUAUCAUUUCACAUCUACUCUGUGAUGAAUUACAGCAAGAGUUAUUGCCACCAGCCUGGAUACAUUAAUACUGAAGCUAAUCCGUGUAUCUUUUCAUGUUUUAUAGCUUCUUAACUCUGAUGCUUAGGACAGCAUAUUAAUAAACUUGGUUAAAAAGCCUAUUGGAAAUCUUUCACUUCCUUAGCUUAACUUGUGAAGUAUUAAUCUGCCUAUCUGUCUCUAGCACUAAUCUUAGUGCCAAGGAAGCUGGCAAAAGAACUGCUUGCCCUUUGCGGGCACUCAAG